AACAGGAUUAGAUACCCUGGUAGUCCACGCCCUAAACGAUGUCUACUAGUUGUUGGUGGAGUAAAAUCCAUGGGUAACGCAGCUAACGCGUGAAGUAGACCGCCUGGGGAGUACGGUCGCAAGAUUAAAACUCAAAUGAAUUGACGGGGGCCCGCACAAGCGGUGGAUUAUGUGGAUUAAUUCGAUGCAACGCGAAAAACCUUACCUGGCCUUGACAUGUAACGAACUUUCCAGAGAUGGAUUGGUGCUCGAAAGAGAACGUUAACACAGGUGCUGCAUGGCUGUCGUCAGCUCGUGUCGUGAGAUGUUGGGUUAAGUCCCGCAACGAGCGCAACCCUUGCCAAUAAUUGCCAUCAUUUAGUUGGGCACUUUAUUGGGACUGCCGAUGACAAAUCGGAGGAAGGUGGGGAUGACGUCAAGUCCUCAUGGCCCUUAUGGCCAGGGCUUCACACGUAAUACAAUGGUCGGUACAGAGGGUUGCCAAGCCGCAAGGUGGAGCCAAUCCCAGAAAGCCGAUCGUAGUCCGGAUUGAGGUCUGCAACUCGACCUCAUGAAGUCGGAAUCGCUAGUAAUCGCGGAUCAGCAUGUCGCGGUGAAUACGUUCCCGGGCCUUGUACACACCGCCCGUCACACCAUGGGAGUGGGUUUUACCAGAAGUAGGUAGUCUAACCGCAAGGAGGACGCUUACCACGGUAGUAUUCAUGACUGGGGUGAAGUCGUAACAAGGUAACC
rnacentral:rRNA from 1 species